rnacentral:lncRNA from 10 species
GGAAGAGUCUCAGGGCUGGUGACAGCCUGAGAAGUGAAAGGGAGAAGCAGGACGCUGAGCAACGUUGGAGGAGAAGCAAGAUAACACUGUGCUUAGUGAAGGGGCUCCUAGCUUCACCACUGGCUGGCACAUGACUGGACCGCUCUGUGCCUCAGUUUCCUCAUCUGUGAAAAGAAGAGAGUUAGUGCCCACUUCAUUAGGCUGUCCGAUGAAAUCGGCUAAUGUAUACAAAACACUUAGAACAACGCCUGGCACCGGUGGAGAUCAACAAACAUCAGCAGUCUACCCAAAAGAAUUGAAAGCAGGAACGUGAACAGAUAUUUGCAUACCCGUGUUCUUUUGUUUGUUUGUUUUUGUUGUGAGACAGGGUCUUACUCUGUUGCCCAGGCUGGAGUGCAGUGGUGCAAUCAUGGCUCACUGCAGCCUUAACCUGCCAGGCUCAGGUGGUUCUCCCACCUCAGCCUCCCAAGUAGCUGGGGCUACAGGUGCACCCCAUCACACCUGGCUAAUUGUUUGUAUUUUUGGUGGAGACAGGGUCUCACUAUGUUGCCCAGGUUGAUCUUGAGUUCCAGAGCUCAAGCGAUCCACCCGCCUGGGCCUCCCAAAGUGCUGGGAUUACAGGCAUGAGCCACCACACCUG